rnacentral:rRNA from 1 species
CAGCAGCAGCCGCGGGAAUACGUAGGGUGCGAGCGUUGUCCGGAUUUAUUGGGCGUAAAGGGCUCGUAGGUGGUUGAUCGCGUCGGAAGUGUAAUCUUGGGGCUUAACCCUGAGCGUGCUUUCGAUACGGGUUGACUUGAGGAAGGUAGGGGAGAAUGGAGUUCCUGGUGGAGCGGUGGAAUGCGCAGAUAUCAGGAGGAACACCAGUGGCGAAGGCGGUUCUCUGGGCCUUUACUGACGCUGAGGAGCGAAAGCGUGGGGAGCGAACAGGCUUAGAUACCCGCGUAGUCCCUGUCUCUUAUAC